rnacentral:rRNA from 1 species
UGUGAGGAAGAUAAUGACGGUACUCAACAAGGAAGUGACGGCUAACUACGUGCCAGCAGCCGCGGUAAAACGUAGGUCACAAGCGUUGUCCGGAAUUACUGGGUGUAAAGGGAGCGCAGGCGGGARRACAAGUUGGAAGUGAAAUCCAUGGGCUCAACCCAUGAACUGCUUUCAAAACUGUUUUUCUUGAGUAGUGCAGAGGUAGGCGGAAUUCCCGGUGUAGCGGUGGAAUGCGUAGAUAUCGGGAGGAACACCAGUGGCGAAGGCGGCCUACUGGGCACCAACUGACGCUGAGGCUCGAAAGUGUGGGUAGCAAACAGGAUUAGAUACCCUGGUAGUCCACACCGUAAACGAUGAUUACUAGGUGUUGGAGGAUUGACCCCUUCAGUGCCGCAGUUAACACAAUAAGUAAUCCACCUGGGGAGUACGACCGCAAGGUUGAAACUCAAAGGAAUUGACGGGGGCCCGCACAAGCAGUGGAGUAUGUGGUUUAAUUCGACGCAACGCGAAGAACCUUACCAAGUCUUGACAUCCCUUGACGAUGCUGGAAACAGUAUUUCUCUUCGGAGCAAGGAGACAGGUGGUGCAUGGUUGUCGUCAGCUCGUGUCGUGAGAUGUUGGGUUAAGUCCCGCAACGAGCGCAACCCUUAUGGUCAGUUACUACGCAAGAGGACUCUGGCCAGACUGCGUUGGAAAAA